AGCAUUACGUUGUGUCUAGUGAGAGAUAACAACCCCCGAAACGACUUACAGGUGUGAAGGUGUCGACAGGCUGAUGAAAAACGGGACUUUGCCGGAGAGAGCGCCGCUGAUAUCCCCCAACGAAGGCUCACAUAUCGACGCUAAAUCCACACUCCACCAUCGCGUACUCUAUUCCAGGCAUCCCUAGGGUUUCUAGAGCAUUAGGUCGUGUGUAAAGGGAGAUAAGUAACUCAGAAACUAACGUAUGUGUGUGAAGAUAUCGAGAAGAUGAUGGAAAACGGGACUUCGGUGGAGACUGGAGAGAUUGACGCGGAUAUGCCAAGGGUAGGAGGUUAUCGCUUCCUCACCCGAUUGCAAGAAACCACAGUCGCUCUUGAGUCACGUUAAGGGAAAGGUUUGUUGCCUCUCCGCUCCGCUCUCUCCAGUGUGCUCCAUCCUCCCACGCCGAAGACUGAGAUCUCCUGUGACGUGCCCAGCCGACUUUUUUGUGCUAUACUCUCAAUUUCUCAAACUGGCUCACGGUGCGGAAGAAUGGUCAAACUACCCCUAGAGUCAUAAAGCUACCCCUGGAAAUACCCACAGCCCUUACGGAAGCCUUGUCAAAUAUGGGUGUGUAGGCCUAGACGUAUUUGAGAUAUGGUCCCUGGGCUUUCAUUAACUAAGAUGGAGACUGGCGCUAAGGGAGGAGAAACAAUGUGGAGAGGAUCAGCGAGAGGAACGGAGAACGUGAACUUUUGCAGACAUAUGAGAAUGAAUAGUCCACGGCAUGACACCAAUAUGAUAAUCUGAAGAGCACCGGCGCCGUGGCCAGGCCCAGCUUGAGGUCUGCCGCUGUGGGCUUCCCGAGGAUGUUGGACGAGGCCACGAAGUCCAGCAUAUCGUCCACCAGCUGGAAGGCAAUACCCACGUUGCGGCCGUACUGGAAAGCCACCUCCUGCA